ACCCGCCACCAUAUCCAGCUAAUUUUUGUAUUUUUAGUAGAGACAGGGUUUCAUCAUGUUGGCCAGGCUGGUCUCAAACUCUUGACCUUGUGGUCUGCCCAUCUCGGCCUCCCAAAGUCCUGGGAUGACAGGCGUGAGCCACCGUACCCAGCCUCCUAUUUAGAAUAAUGUUUAACCAAAUAUCUGGGGACUUUGUGGCCCAGUUAAGUUGACACAUAAAAUUAAUCACAGAUCUCAAGCCAAUCAGAUUCUCUCUCCAGAGGAAUUUUCUACUGGGACAGAGAGACCAGCUGGUCUCUGCCUUGGUAGGACCUGGGGACCUGAUGGGCAGACAACUUUGCUCCUGGCCUCCUUCUCAGGCCCUUGAGAAUUGUAGGACACCACCCCUCCCUGCCCCUGUAUCUUGAUCAGACGCAUACCUUCCACCUUAGAUGAGCUUGGGCUGAGUUUCUUGCCUGCAUCCCCACCGGGACCCCUGUGAAGGCUGGCUCCCCUCAGUCAGGCUCUCCCUCCUCUGUGGGGUCUUCACCCAUCCCUCGCAUGUUUUCUUACGGCUGGGCUGGGUCAUACUUAGAGAACUGACUAAAUACAGAGUCUCACAUCCUCAGUGAUUAUUACAAUAAUUCGAGUGAACACGGAAGACUAGAUUUUUAUUUGUGGGAGUGUGUGUGUGUAUGUGUGUGUGUGUGUGUGUGUUUCUAACACCAGCCACUUGCUUCCAGAGACACAUUUCCAUCUGUGUGGUCACUAGCCUGCAAAGUUGUGGCACUUCUUGGUGCCUCCUUCAGGGCAAGUCUGAAAUAUUUUAAUAGACGACUUAAACGUCCUUUAGGUAGAGGUUUCCAGAAAAGCCAGUGGAGUUGGAUAUAUGGUUUUAAUAACAAUUCUAGUUACUGAGGCUUCUCCUCCCAUCCUUGGCUUGGGUACAUACAGUAUAGUUAAAACUAAACUGUCGAAGGGGAAUGAUUUAAAGCAAAGUUCUGGCCGUGAGUGGGCCUUGGGAAACCUGCUUUGAGGUGCUUUGUUUUGUUUCUGGAAGAGAGCUGGGGAGGACAGCCAAUGCUAUGUCGGCGUGGCUGCAUUUUUGCAGCAUGGAAGUCGGCGGGAUUAUUUUAUUAUCACGCUGACUGGACUAUCACCCUGGUCACAGGCUGCAGCAAGGAAGACUGAAUGUUUGCAACUGUAGGUGAUGAAGAUGCCACAGAGAUGGCCUAAUUAAUCUUCUCAUCUGUUAGCUGGGGACACAGGGAGCCCGACUUGCUCCAAGUCUCCCAGCCAGGCUGUAGGAGAGCUGGAUUGCACCAAAUCAGACACAAAUUCCAGAUGGCUCAAGGACCUAAGUGGAAACGUGAAACUUUCCAGUCACGAGAGAACACCUUUAUGACCUCAUGGUGAGAAGGAGGGACUUCUUGGGGAAGACUCAAAAAGCAC
rnacentral:lncRNA from 10 species